CGCUCGGCGCCUCCCCAGCAGGCGCUUCGGCUUCCGCGGGAGCCGGAAGGGGGCGCGGCGCGCGCCUGGCCGCCGCCGGCCGCUGCUCGCUGAGGCGGCCGUUGGAGGGGCUGGAGCGCGUUCUGCGCCGUCCCGCCCCGCCCCGCCGCGCGGGGCGCGGCCAUUGGCUUCCAGGGGGCAGGGGCUGGCGCGGCGCGAUUACUUCCUCCUCAGCAUCAGAGGUGAGCUCUGGACUGUUGCAAUUUAUAGGCAUCAAUGCUUCAAGAUACAGAUAUGAGAACUCUCUGGAGUUCUAGAUCCAACUCCCUGGAGGACUCUCUGGAGUUCUAUAUUCCAACUUUCUAAGUGUGGACAACAUCUGGACAGAUAAGAACAGAUCCUCGAUCCUACGUUCUUCUGCUAGUUAAAACAGUCUAUUCCUGAGUGUGAUCUUUCUGGAACUCCCUCCCAGAAUCUCUAGCCCUAAUGAGACUGGCCUGGAUGAUCCAGUAAUAGGUUUGCAUUAUGACUAACUGUAUUUCUUCGUGGAGGGAGUCAGCUGUGAGGAAAUUUAAGAAAUCUAAGUGAAACAUCUGAAGAAGGAAUAAAAUCAAAUGCAAACACCCUUGUCUACCUUGAAGUGAUUUAUACAUAUAACUCCAGACCAAUCUCCAUACCUGGGGCAAAAUUAGCAAUUUUCUUUGGCCGAUUUCGAGCGGAUGGAGAAAUCAACAUCUCUGCUUGCCAGUGAAAACAGAACCUACUGAGUUUGCCUGCAGACCCCUGUCCUGCGCAGGCAGGCCCUGCUCCCCGUCGGAGGGUGCUCUGCGUGAGGAGGCAAUGAAGGUUAUGGCCAUGCUGCAUGGAACUAAAUAAAUAAAGAAGCUUGUAAUUUAUGUUACCAUCAAAUGCUUGAAUAUUUGGUCUUGCUGCAGGAAAAAGAACUGACUCCCACGUAUCCGAGGAGUUUUUCAGAAGAUAUCAAGAAUGAAUAUUGAAUACAUAAUUAGGUUUUCUUGAAGAUAUGUUCGCAGAUUAGAAAUAGGUCAUGCAAUAAUUUAUAUUAGUCCACAUUACCAAUAAUGUGAUAGAUAAGUUCUAUCUCUACUUAUAUUUCUGUAUCCCUACUUGAUGUUUUUCUAGAAUAAAUGUGUUUAGAAAAUGGAAGGGUGUAGUUGCUCUCCACAUGCAGCAUGCCGCCUUUUCUUUUCUUUCUCUUCAUUUUAUUCUGCUUCCAUAUUUCCCUUCCCCCUUUAAUUUAAUGGUAGGCAUACACAGAUGCCAGGCAGACAAAUGUACUGAAGCCCUGUUAGCAUUUAAUCUCUUUUCAGAUAAAUGCAAAUAUUGCUGUCGAUGGUAUUGGAACCUUGUCCAGCAGUCAUUUGAGGAACUUGCUCAUCCAUUUUUCAGAGUGUCCAUUACUAUCAGUCACUGAAAAUUGUGAUCCAGAAUAUUCGUUCUUGCCGAAAACAAUAGAAUUAAGCCACAGGGCUUCAGAAAAUUGCUUUCAUAUUCAAGCAGCACUACACAUAUACAGACACCUUGUUGAUGAUUUUCCUGCCCUGAAGAAAAUGUAUUGCUGCUGCCACAAACCUGUCUUUUGGCACUUUGUCACUUACAAGUGAUGAUAAAAUUGCAACAAAGAGACUUCUUUUUAAUCUCAUAGGUCAUCGUUUGUACUCUGGACAGUCCUCCCUUUUGUCCUCUCGUUUAGAUUAGAUAAGGUGGAAAAAUCCUUUUAGCUGCCUCUAACUUCUGUAAGCAACACAAAUGCCAAAAAGUCAGCCUCAACGCACCAUCAAAUUUUUAACCUGACAACUUUGUUCAUUUAGAUUGGAAGUUCUGUAUGAAUUUUAAAUAUAUAUAUUUUUAGGCAAGUGAAUUACAGGGAGUCUUUUUGAUCCAUAGAUUCGCAUCAUAUUGUAAACCUUAAGAGAGAAGUUUAAUCCCUUUAAUUUUGUGAGAACCCCAGAAUCAUACGAUAGUUGUAUUACUGAAAUUCCAACCAUUAUUAUAUCCAUUUGUUACUACUUCACACUCACAUCAUUUUUAAAAUUCAGUUAUCCUGUCUGGGAAUUCAAAGUUGCAGAAAACUUGUGAUAGAUAGAAAGACUGAGAAAUUCUGAAUAAAUCCCCUUAUCUGUUGAAUAUUUUAAAGAGGAGCUUUCACAUUAGAACACAUUUGGAAGAAAAAAGAACAUUUGUACAAACAGCAAUUUAUCUGGCUACAGUCUUUUUGCUAUUUUUUCUACAUUUGCUGAGAGCCUUUUCUCUUCUUAGUCAUCUUCUUCAGCUUUAUACCUCAAUGAAAUCAUAAACUUGCUCAUGACAUAAAAAAUCUGCUGCUGUGGAAAUUUGAUGCAGCAAAUACAGUAUUUUGUCUCCAAUCUGCAGUGUCUUUCAAUCUGAAUUUCUUCCAAUUUGAAGUACGGAAAGAACAAAGAAGAACAGAGGUUUAAAAUCCCUGAAAAGGGCAGGGGGAGAAGAAGGUACUUUUGCAGGUCGCUUUCCAUGCAUGUCAAGCAUGUCAGGCUUGUCUGCUUCUGUCCUGUGCAUCUGAGGACAGGUCUCCACAAACAUGAGAGGACUUGUAGAGGUAGGGAUCAGGUGGAACCAAAACUGGUGUCCUGCAUUUUGUACUGGGGUUGAACAUACUAUUUCAAACAAUUAAGGGGCACUGUCAAUAUCUAGGACAGAUUCUCUACCAUUUUUCUCUUAUUUGUGCCCCUGAGUAGUGCAGAGCAGAGACUAUGGGGGCAUCACACAGUCACUAGCACAUGGGAGGAGUCAGCUCUUGUGGUCUCUUUUUCACACAAGGGCCGUGAAAAACACAUCAGGGUGAAGAGAGAAAAACAUGCUGACCCGUUUUCCUCUGUUGCUUGAGAAAACUGCUGCCAUCUGAUAUAAAUAAGCAAUACCUCCAUGAAAAGCCAACAUUCAUCAAACUGGGGUGUGGCUACAUAUAGGCCUACUUCGAAAUUCAGAGUUGGCUGAAGUGAAUACAAGCCUGGAGAUACCUAGGUGAUUCACAGUUCCUCCUGGGAGAAACCCAAGCAUUGGGCAUACAGAAAUGGACACUUAGGUGCCUAAAUAACCAUUAAUGGCCAAGCCCUCUGCCGGUGCCCAGGGGAAGCAAGCCUCAUUACUCCAAAUGAAGGGAUCUUUGCGUUCAAACCAAUCACUGCUGAAGAUAACAGACAGUUCACUCAUUUACCUGGAUUUGGCCCCUACGAAUAGAAACAUCCUGGACCAGUCUCCUGUUGGUUGCACUGCUGUAAAAGAGUCGCACCUUCUCUAAUCCCCGAAAAUCACUGCAGAUUCAGAUGAACUGGCAAAAGCAGAAUAAGCUCCAGUGAGUGUUCUGGCUUCUCUACGGCACUUCUCACAAUGUGACUGAACAUGAAGAUAAUGUACCAGUAUUGUCUAGUUUAAUUUUACUGAUCGAAAACCUUCACAAUAAAUAAAGAUGCAAUCCUAAA